CUGCAGCCAGCGGUAAUUUCGGGUCUUGAAGCGGCGUACGGGCGAGUGUGCAACCUGCCUUUUGGGGGAUCCUUUGGAUUAUCCCCUAUAUUUUAAUGGCAUCUUUAAAAUUGAAAACUCCGGUGGAGGUUGAUGGACGCGCAAGAUGAUUGUGAGGAACGGUCACUCUGCGAUCUGGGGGAAGGGUGAUCCCCCCCUGCGACCGACCAACUACGGGAGGCAGCAGUGAGGAAUAUUGGACAAUGGGUGAGAGCCUGAUCCAGCCAUCCCGCGUGAAGGACGACGGCCCUAUGGGUUGUAAACUUCUUUUGUAUAGGGAUAAACCUUUCCACGUGUGGGAAGCUGAAGGUACUAUACGAAUAAGCACCGGCUAACUCCGUGCCAGCAGCCGCGGUAAUACGGAGGGUGCAAGCGUUAUCCGGAUUUAUUGGGUUUAAAGGGUCCGUAGCGGAUCUGUAAGUCAGUGGUGAAAUCUCACAGCUUAACUGUGAAACUGCCAUUGAUACUGCAGGUCUUGAGUGUUAUUGAAGUAGCUGGAAUAAGUAGUGUAGCGGUGAAAUGCAUAGAUAUUACUUAAACACCAUUGCGAAGCAGGUUACUAACAACAACUGACGCUGAUGGACAAAGCGUGGGGAGCGAACAGGAUUAAUACCCUGGUAUCCACGCCGUAAACGAUGCUAACUCGUUUUUGGGCUUUCGGGUUCAAACUAACAAAGUGAUAAUUAGCCACCUGGGGAGUACUUCGCAAAAUGAAACUCAAGGAAUUGACGGGGCCCCACAACGGGAUUAUGUGGUUUAAUUCAUGAAGACUUAGGCUUAUGGAAAUGACGGAAAUAACUUUUCUUUUUUCGGCUGCAUGCCUCGCGUGAGUAGUAUUAACUACCUUGUCUCUCACAUAGGGGAACCCUGUGAA
rnacentral:rRNA from 1 species